AAAAGAAUGGCUGCUUCAAGUGCUGUCACCGCAAACUACGUCCUCAAGCCACCUCCAUACGCACUGGUUUGAUUUUUUUUUUCUUCUUUUUAAUAAAAAUCGAAAUUGUCGGGCAAAUGGCGUUUUGUUUUCGUUGGAUUAGAGAUUUGGCUUUUGAAUUACUAGAUGCUAUAACUUGUUACGCCCUCAUAGCCCUUAAAAUAUAUUUUAAUCCUAGCCAAAGGCGUCACAAAUGAAUUAUCAUCAGCUAAUGAACCAAAAAGGCGUUACAAAUGAACUCUUCUAAUUUCGUAAUGGAAGAAAAUAAAAAUCGAAUAAAUUUAUGCAUUAGUGAUUUUCGGGAAAUGGAAGGAGUCAAGUAGGGUGGUCCAUAUCGGGUAAAGGCCGUGAAUGUUCUAGUGGGAAAUUUGGGUAUGGGACAACAUAUCUGAAUUGAUUUUGAAACCAUAUUCCAAAACUAUCUCAGUCCGACCCGUUACUCAAACUUUAUUAAAUUGUCUAAAACAUAUUACUAUGUAGUUUGUAAUAAAAAACUGCAGUGUGGUGUAGUGUUAGAUAUAUAAAUUUUUAUAUAAAUUUAUGACCAUUCCUAGUUCAAAUUCAGACGUUCCUUGGUCUCAUAUUUGUGUUCCUUCUAGUGGACCUAUUGGUUAAGUGAGAGCAAUAUGUUGAAAUGUUUUUGUUAUAAAAUUGGAAAGGAUGCUUUGGAGCCGCAUAUGAGCAAACAAACUCUGGAGUUUCACUGGGGAAAGCAUCACAGGGCUUACGUGGAAAACCUCAAGAAACAGGUUCUUGGAACCGAGCUUGAAGGCAAGCCCUUAGAGCACAUUAUCCACAGCACUUACAACAAUGGCGAACUCCUCCCUGCUUUCAACAACGCUGCCCAGGUGAUAACAAACCCGUUUUUAGUUUGAGCUUUUUAAAUGGGUGCGUGAUUGUUUGAGCUGAUGAUGAUCCAGUGGUUGUGUUAAUAGGCGUGGAACCACGAGUUCUUCUGGGAAUCAAUGAAACCCGGUGGUGGAGGAAAACCAUCAGGAGAGCUUCUUGCUUUGCUUGAAAGAGAUUUCACUUCUUAUGAGAAGUUCUAUGAAGAGUUCAAUGCUGCUGCAGCCACUCAGUUUGGAGCUGGCUGGGCCUGGCUUGCUU
rnacentral:lncRNA from 1 species